rnacentral:rRNA from 1 species
UACAGAGGUCUCAAGCGUUGUUCGGAUUCAUUGGGCGUAAAGGGUGCGUAGGCGGCGCGGUAAGUCGGGUGUGAAAUCUCGGGGCUUAACUCCGAAACUGCAUUCGAUACUGCCGUGCUUGAGGACUGGAGAGGAGACUGGAAUUUACGGUGUAGCGGUGAAAUGCGUAGAUAUCGGGAGGAACACCAGUGGCGAAAGCGGCUACCUGGCCCAUUCUUGACGCUGAGGCGCGAAAGCUAGGGGAGCAAACGGG